AUGUUCUCUGUAGCUCUGCUGCUGCUGCUGUUUGCUGCAUCCUGUGUGAACUGUGAACAGCUGACACAACCAGACUCUGUGACUGUGCAGCCAGGUCAACGUCUGACCAUCAGCUGUCAGGUCUCUUAUUCUAUCAGCACCUACUGGACAGCUUUUAUCAGACAGGCUGCUGGGAAAGGACUGGAGUGGAUUGGGGACAAUGAUAGUUAUGGAAAUGAAAACUACAAAGAGUCACUGAAGAACAAGUUCAGUAUCGAUGUAGACACCAAUAGUAACACAGUGACUCUAAAUGGACAGAAUAUGCAGCCUGAAGACUCUGCUGUGUAUUACUGUGCCAGACGGGACACAGUGACACAAACCAGCAGCAGAGCUGUACGAAAACCCCUCACAACCUGA